rnacentral:rRNA from 1 species
AUUGAACGCUGGCGGCAUGCCUUACACAUGCAAGUCGAACGGCAGCGGACCUUCGGGUGCCGGCGAGUGGCGAACGGGUGAGUAAUAUAUCGGAACGUACCUUUCAGUGGGGGAGUAACGUAGCGAAAGUUAACGCUAAUACCGCAUAUUCUGUGAGCAGGAAAGUAGGGGAGUUGCAAGACCUUGCGCUGAUUGAGCGGCCGAUAUCAGAUUAGCUAGUUGGUGAGGUAAAGGCUCACCAAGGCGACGAUCUGUAGCGGGUCUGAGAGGAUGAUCCGCCACACUGGAACUGAGACACGGUCCAGACUCCUACGGGAGGCAGCAGUGGGGGAAUUUUGGACAAUGGGCGGCAAGCCUGAUCCAGCCAUGCCGCCGUGAGUGAAGAAGGACCGUCG